CAAUAGCGUAUAUUAAAGUUGUUGCGGUUAAAAAGCUCGUAGUUGGAUUUCUGCUGAGAACGACCGGUCCGCCCUUUGGGUGUGUAUCUGGCUCUUUCUUGGCAUCUUCUUGGUGAACGUUACUGCACUUGACUGUGUGGAGCGCUACCCAGGACUUUUACUUUGAGGAAAUUAGAGUGUUUCAAGCAGGCAUACGCCUUGAAUACGUUAGCAUGGAAUAAUAAGAUAGGACCUCGGUUCUAUUUUGUUGGUUUCUAGAGCUGAGGUAAUGAUUAAUAGGGAUAGUUGGGGGCAUUCGUAUUUAACUGUCAGAGGUGAAAUUCUUGGAUUUGAAAGACGGACUACUGCGAAAGCAUUUGCCAAGGAUGUUUUCAUUGA
rnacentral:rRNA from 1 species